AACGAACGCUGGCGGCAGGCUUAACACAAGCAAGUCGAACGCAUCCUUCGGGGUGAGUGGCAGACGGGUGAGUAACGCGUGGGAACGUGCCCUUCAGUUCGGGAUAACCCAGGGAAACUUGGGCUAAUACCGGAUACGUGCGAGAGCAGAAAGAUUUAUCGCUGAAGGAUCGGCCCGCGUCUGAUUAGCUAGUUGGUGGGGUAAUGGCCCACCAAGGCGACGAUCAGUAGCUGGUCUGAGAGGAUGAUCAGCCGCAUUGGGACUGAGACACGGCCCAAACUCCUACGGGAGGCAGCAGUGGGGAAUAUUGGACAAUGGGCGCAAGCCUGAUCCAGCCAUGCCGCGUGAGUGAUGAAGGCCUUAGGGUUGUAAAGCUCUUUCGUCCGGGACGAUAAUGACGGUACCGGAAGAAGAAGCCCCGGCUAACUUCGUGCCAGCCGCCGCAGUAAUAC
rnacentral:rRNA from 1 species